GGGAGAGGGAGGAAGGAAGGGAAGGAAAGAAAAGGAGGAAAAAGGAGUGGGAAGGGAAGGGAAAAGGAGGGACGGGAAGGGGAAGGUGCCAGCUUGGGAUUUCGAGCCUGGGUAGUGCCUGCUAACGGGGUUGGCCGGAGCAGCAGAGCACCGGGAGGCCCAGGGAUGUGGCGAGGCAGCCGCGGUGUCAGAAAGAGGAAGGCAGGAGGCUGAGGCCGAGGGCCCUGGAAUCUCGCACAUUCCAGGGUUCAGAAAGAUCACGGUGGGGUCCACCUCUGGAGUCCACAAAAGAAAACGUACAAUGUGGCCACAGGCCUGCUUUUCCAAACUCGUCAUGGUUACCAUUUCAUGAACGGCUUCAAGUCCAGAAUGAGUAGAAUCCUGUUUCCUUCUGAAGCCCUUCCUAAUUGAUAUACUUAGGGCCAUCUUCCUUAACACCCCAGACCUGCUGGUUUCGGAGCCAUCGACCUCCUCAUUUCCACCGCAGAGGGCUGGAGGAGAUUCAGAAAAUCAGGGCAGGGCCCAGGAGAAGGUUCUUUCAGAGCAUGGCUUCAGCCUGGUUACUUCUGACACCAGCCAGGAGGAACAGACUUCUUCCCCAUACAGCAGGUACCACCAGAAGUACCUGAGCAAGAUCACCCUCAGCUCCUGCAGCCUCAGGGCACCGGAGUGUCCUGUCCACGGGGCAUUUGUUACGGACAAAGAUUUGUGUGGCCUUUCACUUUGCACGCUGAAGCUUAACCCUGGCUGCAACGGGACGGGGGGCCACCAAGGAAGUCAUUAAGGUUAACUAAGGUAUAGGGUGGUGCCCUGGUUGACAGGAUGGUGGCCUUAUGAGGACACUUACAAGAUGGACGCCCACUUGUCCCCCGACCCCUCUGGCACAGGAACUGAGGAAGAGUCACAAGAGGACACAGCAGAUGUUGGUCACCUGCAGGCUAGGAAGAAAGCCCUCCCCAGGAACCUGGGUCUUGGGGACUUCCAGCCUCCACUGUGGGAAAGAAAUGCGUGUUGAUCAGUCCACCCAGUCUAUGGUGUUUUGUAACGGUGGCCAGAGCAGACAAAGACAGUAUGAAAACAUAACUUCUCCCCACACGCUGAAGUUAUAACAGCAAUGCUUUCAACAAAUUGGGCAACGCUUUUGUGGUUCCCACUGGGCGAGUGUUGAAGCUUACAAAACACAAAGGCAUUUUUGAACGUCUGGUCUUUGAGGUAUAAUUUCUAUUCAGCAAAUUCACCACUUCAGGAUGGAUGGUUCUGUGAAUUCUGAUGAAUGUAAAUGGCUGUGACCAGACAUAGAACUUUGGCCGAAUGUGGUGCCUCAUGCCUGUAAUCCCAGCACUUUGGGAGGCUGAGGUGGGCGGAUCACCUGAGGUCAGGAGUUCAAGACCAGCCUGACCAACAUGGUGAAAACCCGUCUCUACUAAAAAUACAAAAAUUAGCUGGGCGGGGAGGCAUGUGCCUGUAAUCUCAGUUAUUCAAGAGGCUGAGGCUGGAGAAUUGCUUGAACCUGGGAGGUGCAGGUUGCAGUGAGCUGAGAUCACACCAUUGCUCUCCAGCCUGGACGACAAGAGUGAAACUCUGUUUCACAAAAAGAAAAGAAAAAGACAAGACAUACAACAUUUUCAUCACCCCAAAACAUUCCCCUGUGCUUCUUAGUAAUCCAUCCUCUUCCUGGAACCCCAAACCUGGGCAACAACUCAUGCGUUCUCUGUGCUUGGAGUUUUGCCUUUCCCAGAAUGCCAUGGAAUCAUACGGUGUGCAGCGGCUCGUGUCUGGCUUCUCCAGCUCGGUGCGAUGCUCCUGAGAUCCGAGUUGUUGUGCGUGUCAGUCGGCUGCUCCUCUUCGCUGCUGUGUAGCACCGCUGUUGUGUGAAUGCACCGCAGUUUGUUCAUCGCUUCCUCUGACGAUGGACAUUUAGGUUGUUACCAGUUUUUAGCAAUUAAAAAGAAAGCCACCAUAAACACUGGGUACUGGUUUUCACGUGGACGUAUGUUUCUGUGCAGUCCUGUUUUGAUUAAAAUGUGAACUCGUCUACUGCCGUGGUAGGCAAUUUUUGGAUGACUUGGGGCCUAAAUGAAGAGAAUGCAGGCGCUUGCUGUGUUCUCCCUUUCUGUAGUCUGGGACUGCCAUGGAAGUCGUGUGGUUUCUUUGGGCAGGAUGGUGGGUAAUGCGGGAAUUCUUUUAUCUAUGCCCUGUUCCAUCUCAUAUGCAUGUCCCCUCCAGUGCCCAAAAGUUUGCAAACACUUAGAGCAGCGAUCAGAUGUUUUGCUCUACUGACCCCAAAUAAAUACAUGCUGUUUGCAAAGAACAGAGGCAAGGAGGCUUUCUCUCCCAUUUCACGACCCCGCUUGGCAGAGAAAAGAAAAGCAUUAGGUUGCUGAAUUCUAAUGCUUUGCU
rnacentral:lncRNA from 1 species